GGGAGAAGGUACGCUCUCGACGGUGAAGUCCCUCGCGGAUGGAGCUAUUGAGAGUCGCAGAUACCAGGUGGCUGCAACUGUUUAUUAAAAACACAGCACUGUGCAAAAUCGCAAGAUGACGUAUACGGUGUGACGCCUGCCCGGUGCCGGAAGGUUAAUUGAUGGGGUUAGACUUCGGUCGAAGCUCUUGAUCGAAGCCCCGGUAAACGGCGGCCGUAACUAU
rnacentral:rRNA from 1 species